GACGAACGCUGGCGGCGUGCUUAACACAUGCAAGUCGAACGGAAAGGCCCUGCUUUUGUGGGGUGCUCGAGUGGCGAACGGGUGAGUAACACGUGAGUAACCUGCCCUUGACUUUGGGAUAACUUCAGGAAACUGGGGCUAAUACCGGAUAGGAGCUCCUGCUGCAUGGUGGGGGUUGGAAAGUUUCGGCGGUUGGGGAUGGACUCGCGGCUUAUCAGCUUGUUGGUGGGGUAGUGGCUUACCAAGGCUUUGACGGGUAGCCGGCCUGAGAGGGUGACCGGCCACAUUGGGACUGAGAUACGGCCCAGACUCCUACGGGAGGCAGCAGUGGGGAAUAUUGCACAAUGGGCGGAAGCCUGAUGCAGCAACGCCGCGUGCGGGAUGACGGCCUUCGGGUUGUAAACCGCUUUCGCCUGUGACGAAGCGUGAGUGACGGUAAUGGGUAAAGAAGCACCGGCUAACUACGUGCCAGCAGCCGCGGUGAUACGUAGGGUGCGAGCGUUGUCCGGAUUUAUUGGGCGUAAAGGGCUCGUAGGUGGUUGAUCGCGUCGGAAGUGUAAUCUUGGGGCUUAACCCUGAGCGUGCUUUCGAUACGGGUUGACUUGAGGAAGGUAGGGGAGAAUGGAAUUCCUGGUGGAGCGGUGGAAUGCGCAGAUAUCAGGAGGAACACCAGUGGCGAAGGCGGUUCUCUGGGCCUUUCCUGACGCUGAGGAGCGAAAGCGUGGGGAGCGAACAGGCUUAGAUACCCUGGUAGUCCACGCUGUAAACGGUGGGUACUAGGUGUGGGGUCCAUUCCACGGGUUCCGUGCCGUAGCUAACGCUUUAAGUACCCCGCCUGGGGAGUACGGCCGCAAGGCUAAAACUCAAAGGAAUUGACGGGGCCCCGCACAAGCGGCGGAGCAUGCGGAUUAAUUCGAUGCAACGCGUAGAACCUUACCUGGGUUUGACAUGGAUCGGGAGCGCUCAGAGAUGGGUGUGCCUCUUUUGGGGUCGGUUCACAGGUGGUGCAUGGCUGUCGUCAGCUCGUGUCGUGAGAUGUUGGGUUAAGUCCCGCAACGUGCGCAACCCUUGUUCACUGUUGCCAGCACGUUAUGGUGGGGACUCAGUGGAGACCGCCGGGGUCAACUCGGAGGAAGGUGGGGAUGACGUCAAGUCAUCAUGCCCCUUAUGUCCAGGGCUUCACGCAUGCUACAAUGGCUGGUACAGAGAGUGGCGAGCCUGUGAGGGUGAGCGAAUCUCGGAAAGCCGGUCUCAGUCCGGAUUGGGGUCUGCAACUCGACCUCAUGAAGUCGGAGUCGCUAGUAAUCGCAGAUCAGCAACGCUGCGGUGAAUACUUUCCCGGGGCU
rnacentral:rRNA from 1 species